GACGAACGCUGGCGGCGUGCUUAACACAUGCAAGUCGAACGGACAGGCCCUGCUCUUGCGGGGUGCUCGUUUGGCGAACGGGUGAGUAACACGCGAGUAACCUGUCCUUGACUUUGGGAUAACUUCUGGAAACUCGGGCUCAUAUCGGAUAGGAGCUCCUGCUGCACGGUGGGGGUUGGAAAGUUUCGGCGGUUCGGGCUGGUCUGGCGGCUUAUCCGCUUCAUUGUGAGGUAGUUGAUUUCAACGGCUUUGACGGAUAGCCGGCCUGGGAGGUUGGCCGGCCACCAUGGGCCUACGAUACGGCCCAGUCGCGUACGGGACGCAGCAGUGGGAAGUAUUACGCAAUGGGCGGACGCCUGAUGCGGCAGCGCCGCGUGCGGGAUGACGGCCUUCGAGUUGUAAACCGAUUUCGCCGGUGCCGAGGCGUGAGUGACGGUAAUGGGUAAAGAAGCACCGGCUAACUACGUG
rnacentral:rRNA from 1 species